rnacentral:rRNA from 1 species
UACGAAGGGGCUAGCGUUGCUCGGAUUCACUGGGCGUAAAGGGUGCGUAGGCGGUCGGGUAAGUCUGAUGUGAAAUCUCACAGCUUAACUGUGAAACUGCAUUGGAUACUAUUCGGCUUGAGAGUUGGAGGGGGACUGGAAUUCUUGGUGUAGCAGUGAAAUGCGUAGAUAUCAAGAGGAACACCAGUGGCGAAGGCGAGUCCCUGGACAACUUCUGACGCUGAGGCACGAAGCUAGGGAGCAAACAGG